CUAGCUAAAGUUCCAAUAACUUCAGAGGCCUGGGGGUGGGUGUUGAGGGGGAGAGCACAGAAUGGCGUCUCCCUUCCCUCUGGCAACAGGAGGUGGCAGGGGAUGGAAAAAGGGAUGGAUCUGUGCAGUAAUGACAUGAUGGAGGCUGCCUCAUAAGUGUUUUAGAUUAGCUGUACAGUUACUCAUCAGAUUUGUUGACAGUUUUACCACACCAAACAAGGAUCAUUAGUCUGAAAUAGUCAUUGUGAUGGAUGGCUAUGGUGCCAUGCCCCUGUACUCCACCAUCAGAUGAUGUCUCCCCCAACACAUCAUCAACUUCUGCUGCUGCCACCAACAGUGUCCAGCAGGAUCUGCAGCAGCAGGUUGAGGAACUGAAACUGCAGCAGAGGUACAUUACCAAAAAAAAAUGAAGUGUGAAGCUAAAAUUCACACUCUUAAACAGCAAUUGGCCAUUGCAGAGCACAAAAUGUGUGAGACAGAAAAGAUUACCUAGAGAAGAAAUUUAAUUUAUUAAAGCAGUUCAAGCAAA